GACGGAGGGGGCUAGCGUUGUUCGGAAUUACUGGGCGUAAAGCGCACGUAGGCGGCCUUUCGAGUCAGGCGUGAAAGCCCCGGGCUUAACCCGGGAAUUGCGUUUGAUACUGUUGGGCUUGAGACCGGGAGAGGAUAGCGGAAUUCCCAGUGUAGAGGUGAAAUUCGUAGAUAUUGGGAAGAACACCAGUGGCGAAGGCGGCUAUCUGGACCGGUACUGACGCUGAGGUGCGAAAGCGUGGGUAGCAAACAGG
rnacentral:rRNA from 1 species